GGAAGGGUGGCUGAGUGGUUAAAGGCAUCUGACUCGAAAUCAGAAGAUGUCGCAAGGCAUCCGCAGGUUCGAAUCCUGUCCCUUCCGCCA
rnacentral:tRNA from 1 species